rnacentral:lncRNA from 10 species
UGGGCGCCAAGGCCGAGGAGGCGCCGAGAGCGAGCAAGGGCUGCGAGCGCUGCCAGCAUGCUGUCACCUCUCAACAACACCAUUGACAUUUUGUGCAGCUGAAGGCAGCAGGCCAGAUGGACAAUGUGACUAAUGUGGAGUCACACUCCAGAAGGAGUCAGAUGCAUGCAUUCUGCUUCCUAGAACGAAAAAGAUGGAUUUGAUGUCGUGAAAUGGCAAUUCUAAAACUCAGGAGAUAUGUUGGUGUUUCUGAGCUCUUACUCCAGUGUCCACUUGUCCAUAGAAUCACCUUUCACUUCUGGGGUCAGAGGACAGCUCCUGGAAUGAUCUCUCAUCUUACGGCAAAAAGGUAAGAGAACUUGGCUGGGCACAGUGGAUCACUCAUGUGAUUCAAGCAUUUUGAGAGGCUGAGGCAGGUGGAUCACUUGAGGUGAGGAGUUCGAGAUCAGCCUGGCCAAUAUGGUAAAACCCGUCUCUACUAGAAAUACAAAAAAUUAUCUGAGCAUGGUGGUGUGUGCCUGUAGUCCCAGCUGCUUGGGAGGCUAAGGCAUGAGAAUCAC